UACGUAGGGGGCAAGCGUUGUCCGGAUUUAUUGGGCGUAAAGAGCGUGUAGGCGGCUUUACAGGUCCGUUGUGAAAACUCGAGGCUCAACCUCGAGACGCCGGUGGAAACCGUAAAGCUAGAGUCCGGAAGAGGAGAGUGGAAUUCCUGGUGGAGCGGUGAAAUGCGUUGAGAUCGGAAGGAACGCCCGCGGCGAAAGCGCGGUCCUGGACGCCUGCUGACGCUGAGACGCGAAAGCCAGGGGAGCGAACGGG
rnacentral:rRNA from 1 species